UAAGAAGGUAAUCGGUGUUGUAAAG
rnacentral:misc_RNA from 1 species